GACGAACGCUGGCGGCGUGCCUAAUACAUGCAAGUCGAACGAGUGGCGGACGGGUGAGUAAUGUCUGGGAAACUGCCUGAUGGAGGGGGAUAACUACUGGAAACGGUAGCUAAUACCGCAUACCAUCAGAUGUGCCCAGAUGGGAUUAGCUUGUUGGUGGGGUAACGGCUCACCAAGGCGACGAUCCCUAGCUGGUCUGAGAGGAUGACCAGCCACACUGGAACUGAGACCCGGUCCCGACUCCUACGGGAGGCAGCAGUGGGGAAUAUUGUACAAUUGGCGCAAGCCUGAUGCAGCCCUGCCGCGUGUAUGAAGAAGGCCUUCGGGUUGUAAAGUACUUUCAGCGGGGAGGCGUUACCCGCAGAAGAAGCACCGGAUAACUCCGUGCCAGCCGCCGCGGUAAUUC
rnacentral:rRNA from 1 species